GAAGGCUGUCCCAACACAAGGGCCACCAGAUCCGAGGGCACUUGGGAGAACAGCGUUAGGUCAUGCCUUUUAAAUACCGUGGCUAGGGGCCUAUAACUAAUGUGCCUUUUCCCCCCAGUUCCACUGACACCACUAGUCAGGAAAAGGUCCUGCUGGGAGAGUGAGAAUCUCG